GAUGAACGCUAGCGGCAGGCCUAACACAUGCAAGUCGAGGGGUAGCUAGAGUGAUAGCAAUAUUACUUUGGCUAGACCGGCGCACGGGUGCGUAACACGUAUGCAACCUACCUUAUACUGGGGAAUAACUUCGAGAAAUCGGCGCUAAUACCCCAUAACACUGCGGAGAGGCAUCUCUUUGCAGUUAAAGCUCCGGCGGUAUAAGAUGGGCAUGCUUCCAAUUAGCUAGUUGGUGAGGUAACGGCUCACCAAGGCUACGAUUGGUAGGGGUUCUGAGAGGAUGAUCCCCCACACUGGUACUGAGACACGGACCAGACUCCUACGGGAGGCAGCAGUGAGGAAUAUUGCGCAAUGGACGAAAGUCUGACGCAGCCAUGCCGCGUGCAGGAUGACGGCCCUAUGGGUUGUAAACUGCUUUUGUACGGGAAUAAACCCUUCUACGUGUAGGAGGCUGAAGGUACCGUAAGAAUAAGCACCGGCUAACUCCGUGCCAGCAGCCGCCGUAA
rnacentral:rRNA from 1 species